rnacentral:rRNA from 1 species
AGUUUGAUCAUGGCUCAGAUUGAACGCUGGCGGCAUGCUUUACACAUGCAAGUCGAACGGUAACAGGCCUUCGGGUGCUGACGAGUGGCGAACGGGUGAGUAAUGCAUCGGAACGUGCCCAAUCGGUGGGGGAUAACGUAGCGAAAGUUACGCUAAUACCGCAUAAGCCCUGAGGGGGAAAGUGGGGGACCGCAAGGCCUCACGCGAAUGGAGCGGCCGAUGUCAGAUUAGCUAGUUGGUGGGGUAAAGGCCCACCAAGGCGACGAUCUGUAGCGGGUCUGAGAGGAUGAUCCGCCACACUGGGACUGAGACACGGCCCAGACUCCUACGGGAGGCAGCAGUGGGGAAUAUUGGACAAUGGGGGCAACCCUGAUCCAGCCAUGCCGCGUGUGUGAAGAAGGCCUUCGGGUUGUAAAGCACUUUUGUUGGGGAAGAAACCGGCCGGGUUAAUACCCUGGUUGAAUGACGGUACCCAAAGAAUAAGCACCGGCUAACUUCGUG